rnacentral:rRNA from 1 species
GACGAACCGUGCGAACGUUGUUCGGAUUCACUGGGCUUAAAGGGCGCGUAGGCGGGUUACCAAGUCAGGGGUGAAAUCUUUCGGCUCAACCGGAAAACGGCCCCUGAUACUGGUAGUCUUGAGGGAGGUAGGGGCAGGUGGAACUUCCGGUGGAGCGGUGAAAUGUGUUGAUAUCGGAAGGAACGCCGGUGGCGAAAGCGGCCUGCUGGGCAGAUACUGACACUGAGGCGCGACAGCGUGGGGAGCAAACAGG